rnacentral:rRNA from 1 species
UACGAAGGGGGGCUAGCGUUGCUCGGAAUCACUGGGCGUAAAGGGUGCGUAGGCGGGUUUUUAAGUCAGGGGUGAAAUCCUGGAGCUCAACUCCAGAACUGCCUUUGAUACUGAAAAUCUUGAGUCCGGGAGAGGUGAGUGGAACUGCGAGUGUAGAGGUGAAAUUCGUAGAUAUUCGCAAGAACACCAGUGGCGAAGGCGGCUCACUGGCCCGGUACUGACGCUGAGGCACGAAAGCGUGGGGAGCAAACAGG